CGUGGGUAACCUGCCCAAGAGAUCGGGAUAACACCUGGAAACAGAUGCUAAUACCGGAUAACAACAGAUGAUGCCUAUCAACUGUUUAAAAGAUGGUUCUGCUAUCACUCUUGGAUGGACCUGCGGUGCAUUAGCUAGUUGGUAGGGUAACGGCCUACCAAGGCGAUGAUGUAUAGCCGAGUUGAGAGACUGAUCGGCCACAUUGGGACUGAGACACGGCCCAAACUCCUACGGGAGGCAGCAGGC
rnacentral:rRNA from 1 species